rnacentral:rRNA from 1 species
UACGAAGGGGGCUAGCGUUGCUCGGAAUCACUGGGCGUAAAGCGCACGUAGGCGGCUUUCUAAGUCAGGGGUGAAAUCCUGGAGCUCAACUCCAGAACUGCCUUUGAUACUGGGAAGCUCGAGUCCGGAAGAGGUGAGUGGAACUCCGAGUGUAGAGGUGAAAUUCGUAGAUAUUCGGAAGAACACCAGUGGCGAAGGCGGCUCACUGGACCGGUUCUGACGCUGAGGCGCGAAAGCGUGGGUAGCAAACAGG